AGCGAACGCUGGCGGCAGGCCUAAUACAUGCAAGUCGAACGCACCUUCGGGUGAGUGGCGGACGGGUGAGUAACGCGUGGGAACGUGCCCUUUGGUUCGGAACAACACAGGGAAACUUGUGCUAAUACCGAAUGUGCCCUUCGGGGGAAGGAUUUAUCGCCAUUGGAGCGGCCCGCGUUGGAUUAGCUAGUUGGUAGGGUAAAAGCCUACCAAGGCUACGAUCCAUAGCUGGUCUGAGAGGANGAUCAGCCACACUGGGACUGAGGCACGGCCCAGACUCCUACGGGAGGCAGCAGUAGGGAAUCUUGCGCAAUGGGCGAAAGCCUGACGCAGCCAUGCCGCGUGAAUGAUGAAGGUCUUAGGAUUGUAAAAUUCUUUCACCGGGGAAGAUAAUGACGGUACCCGGAGAAGAAGCCCCGGCUAACUUCGUGCCAGCCGCCGCGGU
rnacentral:rRNA from 1 species